rnacentral:lncRNA from 1 species
AAGAGACUGAGGUGGCCCAGUGAACAGCCAGACCAGUGGCCAGUCAAGUGAGUGAGGCACCAUGGACUGUGGGAGGACUGCAGCUGCAUGAAUGAACCCAGGUUACCCUGGAUGUGCUUUUAUGGAGGAGCAAGGUUCCAAAAGAAAGCCUAAUCUCAGAAGACCCCUUGGUGCCUGGGUUCAGAACUGCCCACAUACUUCAGGUAGAACUCCAUCAGCAACUCCAGAUGGUAGAACACAUGAUGUAGCCUAUCCAGAAUAUUCAUCACCCUGGCCACAGAAUGAUUCAUUUCAGGAUGAGCAUGUGACCUAAAUCAGUCCAAC